ensembl:lncRNA
GGCUGAUAAGUGACAUCACUUGCAUGUUUUGUAUGCUUGCAAGAUGGGUGCAGCAGUGCCUACUGUAGAGUAGCUGCAGCACCGUAGGCGCACAAGAAAAAGGAUGCGAUUUGGAGUUAAAAAAACAGCCUUGUGUUUUCAACCAGAGCCGCACACUUAAUGAGUUCAGUGAAUCACAUCCUGUCGGAUCCCAGCGCUCACCGCAGACCUGUUGACGCUGCAGAGCCACGACCACCCUGACGUUUAUAAAGUUGAUCAAACUCUCUACAGUGGAUUAGAAAUUAAAGACACACAUGAACCGGGACCGAGUCCAGAAGAGGGACCCCGUCCACCGGACCGGACCCCCCCCUGGCUCCGAUCCGAGCCGUCCACGUGACAGCAAACCAGGCAGCAGCACGCACACACAGCACAGCUCGGUUCGACGUCGCCGGUACCGGAGCCGGAGCCAGCGCACACACAAACCCACCCACGGCAGCAGCACGGCGGCCAUGGACGGCUACGCGCGAGCGGAGGACGAGUCCUUCCCCCCACGGCUCGUGAGCCUCACCUGGGAGGACCCCCUGGAGCAGUCGAUGCAGAUGCUGCACCAUACCGCCACAGAAGGCACGUACCAUCAGACAGAGCGGGAGAACGCAGCCAGCUGAAACCCCAAGCCCCAGAGCGAGGGACGUGACCAGGCAGGGACGGGCCAGGGCCGCCCUGGUGGUGGAGAUGAGAUGAACGACGCAGUGAGUCUUCAACCGGUCGUUUGAGUCUGACGACGGACCGAGGAGGCCUGCUGAAGGAUCACGUUCCUUUUUUUCUUCCUUCCGGCAUUAGAUUCCUUUCUUGCGGUUCUCUCUAAGGUUUGUGUUCGGGCUGGGGGGUAAGUGGGGGCUGUGGUAUGAAGUGGGGCUUUCAUGGCCCUUCUGAGACUGUCACAAACACAGGCCGUUACAAACGCAAGUGAUGUGACGCGUUCGCUUAACACUGAACGUUUUUUUGGAAUGGUGACAUUUUGGUGCCGUUUGUCUUUUCCGUCGGUUUCUCCCUCAUUCAUUAUUUCCGUGUUGACAGACAUCUUUUGUUUUUUUGGGGGACCCGCAAACCCAAAUGAGACGGCGAGCUCAGCUCUGCGCCUGCUUUGAUACACUGACAGAGUAUCAUUAGAUGAAAACACGAGGAAAAAAAGUGCAAAGACGCAGAAAGGAAAACAACAUUAUUGCAAACGUUGUCAGGAAAGGGUUCGGGGGGGGGAGAGGGGAGAGAUCCUGUUUUGAUAGCGCUCCGAAAGCGGAACGCCGACUGACUGACGCAUCACGCUGGUUUUU